rnacentral:rRNA from 1 species
CAGUGGGGAAUUUUGGACAAUGGGGGCAACCCUGAUCCAGCAAUGCCGCGUGAGUGAAGAAGGCCUUCGGGUUGUAAAGCUCUUUUGUCAGGGAAGAAACAGCAGCUCUAACACAGUCUGCGAAUGACGGUACCUGAAGAAUAAGCACCGGCUAACUACGUGCCAGCAGCCGCGGUAAUACGUAGGGUGCGAGCGUUAAUCGGAAUUACUGGGCGUAAAGCGUGCGCAGGCGGUUAUACAAGACAGGCGUGAAAUCCCCGGGCUUAACCUGGGAAUGGCGUUCUGUGACUGUAUAGCUAGAGUGUGUCAGAGGGGGGUGGAAUUCCACGUGUAGCAGUGAAAUGCGUAGAUAUGUGGAGGAACACCAAUGGCGAAGGCAGCCCCCUGGGAUAACACUGACGCUCAUGCACGAAAGCGUGGGGAGCAAACAGGAUUAGAUACCC